rnacentral:piRNA from 1 species
UGGGUGCUGGUUGAAUGGGUGGUUCAUC